rnacentral:rRNA from 1 species
UACGAAGGGUGGCAAGCGUUACUCGGAAUUACUGGGCGUAAAGGGUGCGUAGGUGGUUGUUUAAGUCUGUUGUGAAAGCCCCGGGCUACAACCGUGGGAAUGGCAAUGGAUACUGGACAUGACUAGAGUGCGGUAGAGGGUAGUGGAAGUUCCCGGUGUAGUGGUGAAAUGACGUAGAUAUCGGGAGGAACACCAGUGGCGAAGGCGACUACCUGGCCUGUUCUUGACGCUGAGGCGCGAAAGCUAAGGGGAGCAAACGGGG